rnacentral:rRNA from 1 species
CCCUUAGAUGUUCUGGGCCGCACGCGCGCUACACUGACUACUUCAACGAGUUGUUUCCUUGAUCGAAAGGUCUGGGUAAUCUUUGAAAGGUAGUCGUGAUGGGGAUAGAUCCUUGCAAUUUUUGAUCUUCAACGAGGAAUUCCUAGUAAACGCAAGUCAUCAGCUUGCAUUGAUUACGUCCCUGCCCUUUGUACACACCGCCCGUCGCACCUACCGAUUGAAUGGUCCGGUGAAUCUUUAGGACUGUGGCUGAGGCCUUGCCUUGUGCGGGUCUGGCCGUGGGAAUUUAGUUAAACCUUAACAUUUAGAGGAAGGUGAAGUCGUAACA